rnacentral:rRNA from 1 species
CAGCCGCCGCGGGAAUACGGAGGGGGCUAGCGUUGUUCGGAAUUACUGGGCGUAAAGCGCACGUAGGCGGCUUGGUAAGUUAGAGGUGAAAGCCUGGAGCUCAACUCCAGAAUUGCCUUUAAGACUGCCGAGCUAGCAGGUGAGAGAGGUAAGUGGAAUUCCGAGUGUAGAGGUGAAAUUCGUAGAUAUUCGGAAGAACACCAGUGGCGAAGGCGGCUUACUGGCUCAUACUGGACGCUGAGGUGCGAAAGCGUGGGGAGCAAACAGGAUUAGAGACCCCAGUAGUCCCUGUCUCUUAUAC